GCGCCCGUAGUUCAACGGACAGAAUACAUCCCUCCGAAGGAUGAGAUCGAGGUUCGAUUCCCCGCGGGCGCACUA
rnacentral:tRNA from 1 species